CACGUAGGGUGCGAGCGUUGUCCGGAAUUAUUGGGCGUAAAGAGCUCGUAGGCGGUGUGUCGCGUCGGCCGUGAAAACCUGCAGCUUAACUGUGGGCUUGCGGUCGAUACGGGCAUCACUGGAGUUCGGCAGGGGAGACUGGAAUUCCUGGUGUAGCGGUGAAAUGCGCAGAUAUCAGGAGGAACACCGGUGGCGAAGGCGGGUCUCUGGGCCGAUACUGACGCUGAGGAGCGAAAGCGUGGGGAGCGAAUGGG
rnacentral:rRNA from 1 species